rnacentral:rRNA from 1 species
CUCUGUGACUCCUACGGGAGGCAGCAGUGGGAAUAUUGCACAAUGGGCGCAAGCCUGAUGCAGCAACGCCGCGUGAGUGAUGAAGGCCUUCGGGUCGUAAAGCUCUGUCCUCAAGGAAGAAUAAAUGACGGUACUUGAGGAGGAAGCCCCCGGCUAACUACGUGCCAGCAGCCGCGGUAAUACGUAGGGGCAAGCGUUAUCCGGAAUCACUGGGCGUAAAGGGGUGCGUAGGCGGUUUUCAAGUCAGAAGUGAAAGGCUAUGGCUCAACCAUAGUAAGCUUUUGAAACUGUUAAACUUGAGUGCAGGAGAGGAAAGUGGAAUUCCUAGUGUAGAGGUGAAAUUCGUAGAUAUUAGGAGGAACACCAGUGGCGAAGGCGACUUUCUGGACUGUAACUGACGCUGAGGCACGAAAGCGUGGGGAGCGAACAGGAUUAGAUACCCUGGUAG